UACGGAGGGUGCAAGCGUUGUCCGGAAUCACUGGGCGUAAAGGGCGCGUAGGCGGCCUGAUAAGUAGGGGGUGAAAUCCUGCGGCUUAACCGCAGGGCUGCCUUCUAAACUGUCAGGCUCGAGCACAGUAGAGGCAGGUGGAAUUCCCGGUGUAGCGGUGGAAUGCGUAGAGAUCGGGAAGAACAUCGGUGGCGAAGGCGGCCUGCUGGGCUGUUGCUGACGCUGAGGCGCGACAGCGUGGGGAGCAAACAGG
rnacentral:rRNA from 1 species